rnacentral:rRNA from 1 species
CCUACGGGGGGCUGCAGUGGGGAAUAUUGGACAAUGGGGGGAACCCUGAUCCAGCCAUGCCGCGUGUGUAAAGAAGGCCCUCGGGUUGUAAAGCACUUUCAGUGAGGAAGAACGCCUGGUGGUUAAUACCCAUCAGGAAAGACAUCACUCACAGAAGAAGCACCGGCUAACUCCGUGCCAGCAGCCGCGGUAAUACGGAGGGUGCGAGCGUUAAUCGGAAUUACUGGGCGUAAAGCGCGCGUAGGUGGCUUGAUAAGCCGGUUGUGAAAGCCCCGGGCUCAACCUGGGAACGGCAUCCGGAACUGUCAAGCUAGAGUGCAGGAGAGGAAGGUAGAAUUCCCGGUGUAGCGGUGAAAUGCGUAGAGAUCGGGAGGAAUACCAGUGGCGAAGGCGGCCUUCUGGACUGACACUGACACUGAGGUGCGAAAGCGUGGGUAGCAAACAGGAUUAGAUACCCCAGUAGUC